rnacentral:tRNA from 2 species
GCUCCAAUAGCUCAGUUGGUAGAGCACUUCACUCGUAAUGAAGGGGUCAUCGGUUCAAGUCCGACUUGGAGCU